AGAGGGAGAGAACAGGAAGUUACUCUCUUAAAGGGAACACACUAGUUCCAGUGAAACAAUGCAUAAAUGGAUACUUCCGUCUUUGUGCACUGAAUUGUUAUUUGUUCAUUUUAAAAUCUUUAUAUAUAUUAGGACCGAUUAAGUCCGACCACACUCGCUAAAUAUGUUCCGUUUUGAUCUAGAGAUCUGGCUUUGAUAAAAUGUUUCUUCACUUUAUGAGUCAUUUAAGAGAUUUUUCUAUUUCUUGAAUGUACAAAGGAAUAAACAUUGACAUCUUUUUAUAAAGAGUAAAAUAAGGAAGGGAUAAUGGGCAGUCGACCAUUAUCAUGAAAAAUGUAACCCUGUCAGAUGUCUUUUAUCUCUUUAAAGGGGGACAUCAGAUGCCCAUUUUCCACAAGACCCUGUCCCAAAUGCCCAUAUUUUCGGGCCAAAAACACAGACCUCUGUAUGAGCAGGACUCGGGCAGCAGGACCCUGAAAGUGAAUGAGCUGCAGUAGUGGUGAUUCAUUCUUCUCCUAAGGCAAUGCUCAAGCAGCUUCCCUAUUAUGCUUCUGAGUGGAGGGUGGGUGUCUCAGGAUGGAGACAUCAAAAAGUCAUGGCCUGAUCUUCUGCAAUCGCAGCUGUGAUGUAAAAUGGAGGAAGCACUUGGGGAAUAAAAUUUGAUUUGAAGCUGUGGGAUUGUGCA
ensembl:lncRNA